GACGAACGCUGGCGGCAGGCUUAACACAUGCAAGUCGAACGGAUCCUUCGGGAUUAGUGGCAGACGGGUGAGUAACGCGUGGGAACGUACCCUUUGCUACGGAAUAACUCAGGGAAACUUGAGCUAAUACCGUAUGUGCCCUACGGGGGAAAGAUUUAUCGGCAAAGGAUCGGCCCGCGUUGGAUUAGCUAGUUGGUGGGGUAAUGGCCUACCAAGGCGACGAUCCAUAGCUGGUCUGAGAGGAUGAUCAGCCACACUGGGACUGAGACACGGCCCAGACUCCUACGGGAGGCAGCAGUGGGGAAUAUUGGACAAUGGGCGCAAGCCUGAUCCAGCCAUGCCGCGUGAGUGAUGAAGGUCUUAGGAUUGUAAAGCUCUUUCACCGGUGAAGAUAAUGACGGUAGCCGGAGAAGAAGCCCCGGCUAACUUCGUG
rnacentral:rRNA from 1 species